UGGCGGCAGGCCUAACACAUGCAAGUCGAGCGGUAGAGAGAAGCUUGCUUCUCUUGAGAGCGGCGGACGGGUGAGUAAUACCUAGGAAUCUGCCUGAUAGUGGGGGAUAACGUUCGGAAACGGACGCUAAUACCGCAUACGUCCUACGGGAGAAAGCAGGGGACCUUCGGGCCUUGCGCUAUCAGAUGAGCCUAGGUCGGAUUAGCUAGUUGGUGAGGUAAUGGCUCACCAAGGCUACGAUCCGUAACUGGUCUGAGAGGAUGAUCAGUCACACUGGAACUGAGACACGGUCCAGACUCCUACGGGAGGCAGCAGUGGGGAAUAUUGGACAAUGGGCGAAAGCCUGAUCCAGCCAUGCCGCGUGUGUGAAGAAGGUCUUCGGACUGUAAAGCACUUUAAGUUGGGAGGAAGGGCAGUUACCUAAUACGUGAUUGUCUUGACGUUACCGACAGAAUAAGCACCGGCUAACUCUGUGCCAGCAGCCGCGGUAAUACAGAGGGUGCAAGCGUUAAUCGGAAUUACUGGGCGUAAAGCGCGCGUAGGUGGUUUGUUAAGUUGAAUGUGAAAUCCCCGGGCUCAACCUGGGAACUGCCUCCAAAACUGGCAAGCUAGAGUAUGGUAGAGGGUAGUGGAAUUUCCUGUGUAGCGGUGAAAUGCGUAGAUAUAGGAAGGAACACCAGUGGCGAAGGCGACUACCUGGACUGAUACUGACACUGAGGUGCGAAAG
rnacentral:rRNA from 1 species